rnacentral:rRNA from 1 species
GAUGAACGCUAGCGGGAGGCUUAACACAUGCAAGUCGAGGGGCAGCACGAUGUAGCAAUACGUUGGUGACGACCGGCGCACGGGUGCGUAACGCGUAUGCAACCUACCUUAUACUGGGGUAUAGCCCGGAGAAAUUCGGAUUAAUCCCCCAUAGUACUAAUGAAUCGCAUGGUUUAUUAGUUAACGCAUUGCGGUAUAAGUUGGGCAUGCGUCCUAUUAGCUAGAUGGUGAGGUAACGGCUCACCAUGGCUACGAUAGGUAGGGGGCCUGUGAGGGGGAUCCCCCACACUGGUACUGAGACACGGACCAGACUCCUACGGGAGGCAGCAGUGAGGAAUAUUGGUCAAUGGGCGCAAGCCUGAACCAGCCAUGCCGCGUGCAGUAAAAAUGCCCUAUGGGUUGUAAACUGCUUUUAUUUGGGAAUAAACCUCUUUACGUGUAGAGAGCUGAAGGUACCAAAUGAAUAAGCACCGGCUAACUCCGUGCCAGCAGCCGCCGUAA